GGGGGGGGCAAGCGUUGUUCGGAAUUACUGGGCGUAAAGGGCGCGUGGGCGGCCCAGAAAGUCUCUUGUGAAAUCCCACGGCUCAACUGUGGAACUGCAGGGGAAACUACUGGGCUUGAGUCCGGGAGAGGGUAGCGGAAUUCCCAGUGUAGCGGUGAAAUGCGUAGAUAUUGGGAGGAACACCGGUGGCGAAGGCGGCUACCUGGACCGGUACUGACGCUGAGGCGCGAAAGCUAGGGGAGCAAACGGGAUUAGAUAGCCCGGUAGUCCUAGCUGUAAACGUUGAGCACUUGGUGUAGCGGGUAUCGACCCCCUGCUGUGCCGUAGCUAACGCAUUAAGUGCUCCGCCUGGGGAGUACGGUCGCAAGGCUG
rnacentral:rRNA from 1 species